rnacentral:rRNA from 1 species
UACGGAGGGUGCUAGCGUUGUUCGGAAUUACUGGGCGUAAAGCGCACGUAGGCGGACUGUUAAGUCGGGGGUGAAAUCCUGGGGCUCAACCUCAGAAUUGCCUCCGAUACUGGCAGUCUCGAGUGCGGGAGAGGUGAGUGGAAUUCCCAGUGUAGAGGUGAAAUUCGUAGAUAUUGGGAAGAACACCAGUGGCGAAGGCGGCUCACUGGCCCGUAACUGACGCUGAGGUGCGAAAGCGUGGGGAGCAAACAGG